rnacentral:miRNA from 1 species
UAUUAGGUUGGUGCAAAAGUAUUUGCGGGUUUUGUCAUAGUAAUGGCAAAAACUGCAGUUACUUGUGCACCAACCAAAUGCU